rnacentral:misc_RNA from 1 species
GUAUAAUACACAAGACAUUUAGGCAAUUGAGUUACAUUAGGACCGCAAGAAAGCGUCAAAUAGAUAAUUAAAAUGAUAAUGAAUUUUGGGUUUUCGACAGAAAACAAAAAAGCGAGCAAGAA